UCAAGAGCUUCAGUGAUAUAAGUUUCUGUGUCCAAAGCUUUGUAAUAUAAGUGUCUUCAUCAAGAGGUUCUGUAAUAUAGGUGUUUCAUCAAGAGGUUCUGUAAUAUAGGUGUCUUCAUCAAGAGGUUCUAUGAUAUAGGUGUUUUAUCAAGAGGUUCUGUAAUAUAAGUGUCUUCAUCAAGAGGUUCUGUAAUAUAGGUGUCUUCAUCAAGAGGUUCUGUAAUAUAGGUGUUUCAUCAAGAGGUUCUGUAAUAUAGGUGUCUUCAUCAAGAGGUUCUGUAAUAUAGGUGUCUUCAUCAAGAGGUUCUGUAAUAUAGGUGUCUUCAUCAAGAGGUUCUGUAAUAUAGGUGUCUUCAUCAAGAGGUUCUGUAAUAUAGGUGUCUUCAUCAAGAGGUUCUGUAAUAUAGGUGUCUUCAUCAAGAGGUUCUGUAAUAUAGGUGUCUUCAUCAAGAGGUUCUGUAAUAUAGGUGUCUUCAUCAAGAGGUUCUGUAAUAUAGGUGUCUUCAUCAAGAGGUUCUGUAAUAUAGGUGUCUUCAUCAAGAGGUUCUGUAAUAUAGGUGUCUUCAUCAAGAGGUUCUGUAAUAUAAGUGUCUUCAUCAAGAGGUUCUGUAAUAUAGGUGUCUUCAUCAAGAGGU